CUUAUUGCAUUCCAAGACACCAUCCACACGGUUGAUUUUCUCACGAUCCAACGGCUGAGGUGAGAAUUCUGGAAUCAGAAGGGACCAUUCCCACUUUCUCAUCUUUAUUUUCAUCAAACUCAAUUGGCUGAGCAUCUCCAUCUCUCUCUCUCUCCAUGUUCAUCAAUCUCUCCAUCUUCAGUAAACCCAAUCGGCUGAUGAAGUCCAGAGCCUAUGAUGAGCCAAUCGGCUGUUCAUCCAUCUUUCUCAUCUUCAUUUUUUAAUUUCAAGGAGGAAGCAAAUGGAAAAGAUCCCAAAAGAGAGUGGUAGUCUCUGGAAUGGGGAUGUGACAGCUACUCUCAUGGUGGUGGACAUGUGAAAAUCUGUGUAGUCCAAUUUCUGUUACAAAUUAUGCUUAAAUUUUUCUUGUCAUAGUAAUACGUAUAAUAUAAGGAGCUUAUGCUAUUGCUUUUAGAUAUGACAAAUGCAUUACCCGCACUCGGAUAAAACAUGCCACAUAGCCAUGAAUUGAAAUUUUUAUGGUGGUAAAA